rnacentral:rRNA from 1 species
UGGGGAAUUUUGGACAAUGGGCGCAAGCCUGAUCCAGCAAUGCCGCGUGCAGGAUGAAGGCCUUCGGGUUGUAAACUGCUUUUGUACGGAGCGAAAAGGUCUGCCCUAAUACGGUGGGCUCAUGACGGUACCGUAAGAAUAAGCACCGGCUAACUACAUGCCAGCAGCCGCGGUAAUACGUAGGGUGCGAGCGUUAAUCGGAAUUACUGGGCGUAAAGCGUGCGCAGGCGGUUAUAUAAGACAGAUGUGAAAUCCCCGGGCUCAACCUGGGACCUGCAUUUGUGACUGUAUAGCUAGAGUACGGUAGAGGGGGAUGGGAUUCAGCGUGUAGCAGUGAAAUGCGUAGAUAUGCGGAGUAACAGCGAUGGCGAAGGCAAUCCCCUGAACCUGUACUGACGCUCAUGCACGAAAGCGUGGGGAGCAAGCA